UGGGGAAUAUUGCACAAUGGGCGCAAGCCUGAUGCAGCCAUGCCGCGUGUGUGAAGAAGGCCUUCGGGUUGUAAAGCACUUUCAGCGGGGAGGAAGGCGUUAAGGUUAAUAACCUUGGCGAUUGACGUUACCCGCAGAAGAAGCACCGGCUAACUCCGUGCCAGCAGCCGCGGUAAUACGGAGGGUGCAAGCGUUAAUCGGAAUUACUGGGCGUAAAGCGCACGCAGGCGGUCUGUCAAGUCGGAUGUGAAAUCCCCGGGCUCAACCUGGGAACUGCAUUCGAAACUGGCAGGCUAGAGUCUUGUAGAGGGGGGUAGAAGUCCAGGUGUAGCGGUGAAAUGCGUAGAGAUCUGGAGGAAUACCGGUGGCGAAGGCGGCCCCCUGGACAAAGAAUGACGCUCAGGUGCGAAAGCGUGGGGAGCAAACAGG
rnacentral:rRNA from 1 species